rnacentral:rRNA from 1 species
CUCGCAAGAGUGAACUAGCUAACUGAAAUCACUAAUUGAUUUUAUCAAUGUGAAUUGCUAAGGGAAAAUAAUGAUAGUACCUUAGUAAGAGUGUUGUCAAAUUCUGGUGCCAGAAGACUCGGUAAUGCCAGUAACGCAAACGUUAAUCAUCUUAAUCAGGCGUAAAGGGUUUGUAGGCAGCUUUUUAAAAACUCUUAAAUAUGGAAGAAAAUUAAAAUUAUUUAAGUUGUUUGAAAUAAAAGCUAGAAUCAAAUAGAAGUUAAACCGUAUAAUACUUAGAGAAGAGCUGAGAACCGUAGAACCUAAGGGGAAUACUAAAGGUGUAAACAACUAACUAUAAAUGAUUGACGCUGAGACACGAAGGUGAGGAAAGGAAAUAGGAUUAGAUACCCUGGUACCCCUCUCUGUAAACGAUGAAUGGUAGUUGUCAAUGUUUUAUUGGUGACGAUGUUAACGCGUUAACCAUUCCGCCUUGGGAGUACUACUGCAAAGUUGAAAACAAAAAAAUUAGUCGGUCUCGAAGCAAACGGAGUGAAGCAU